rnacentral:tRNA from 1 species
ACCUGAGUGGCUCAGUUGGUUAAGCAUCUGACUUUGGAUCAGGUAACGAUGUCCCGGUUCAUGAGUUCAAGCCCCACUCAGGCG